rnacentral:rRNA from 1 species
CCUACGGGAGGCAGCAGUGAGGAAUAUUGGUCAAUGGACGCGAGUCUGAACCAGCCAAGUAGCGUGAAGGAUGACUGCCCUAUGGGUUGUAAACUUCUUUUAUAUGGGAAUAAAACAGGGUAUGCAUACCCUCUUGUAUGUACCAUAUGCAUAAGGAUCGGCUAACUCCGUGCCAGCAGCCGCGGUAAUACGGUGGAUCCGAGCGUUAUCCGGAAUGAUUGGGCGUAAGGGGUGCGCAGGCGGUCCUGCAAGUCUGGAGGGAAACGCAUGGGCUCAACUCAGGCAUGGCAUUGGAAACUGGAGGACUGGAGAGCAGGAGAGGGCGGUGGAACUCCAGGUGUAGCGGUGAAAUGCGUAGAUAUAUGGAAGAACACCAGUGGCGAAGGCGGCCGCCUGGACU